GACGAACGCUGGCGGCGUGCUUAACACAUGCAAGUCGAACGGAAAGGCCCUGCUUUUGUGGGGUGCUCGAGUGGCGAACGGGUGAGUAACACGUGAGUAACCUGCCCUUGACUUUGGGAUAACUUCAGGAAACUGGGGCUAAUACCGGAUAGGAGCUCCUGCUGCAUGGUGGGGGUUGGAAAGUUUCGGCGGUUGGGGAUGGACUCGCGGCUUAUCAGCUUGUUGGUGGGGUAGUGGCUUACCAAGGCUUUGACGGGUAGCCGGCCUGAGAGGGUGACCGGCCACAGUGGGAAAGGGGUGCGGCCGGGACUACUACGGGAGGAAGCAGGGGGGAAGGUGGAAGACUGGGCGGAGGCCGAACGCCGCAUCGGCGGGGGCGGGAUGGCGGCCUUCGGGUUGGAAAACGCUUUCGCCUGUGACGAAGCGUGAGUGAGGGUAAUGGGUAAAGAAGCACGGGCUAACUACGUG
rnacentral:rRNA from 1 species